GAGAGUACGAGCUUUCAGGCUUUUAUCAGUUAUAAUUAAAGGGUCUGAUCUCUCCUCUUUUUCCAUUUAUUUUUUCCUUUGGUACCAUAUCUAACAUAGUGAUUUUGUGCUGUUUGGUUUUCAUGUUGAUUAGUCAGAAUCUUGGUAUUUUUUGCGUCUUAUUUCAGUUUUCAUUUCUAUUCAAAUUCUUGGGUCCAUAGGUGUUGGUGCAUGCUCAGAAAAAGAAAAGAGAGAGUCCUCUUCCAUUAGGGUUCAUUUGUU
rnacentral:misc_RNA from 1 species